UACGGGGGGGGCAAGCGUUGUUCGGAUUUACUGGGCGUAAAGGGUGCGUAGGUGGUUGGUUAAGUCGGGCGUGAAAGCUUUACCACUCAACGGAAAGAGGUCGCUCGAUACUGGCUGACUAGAGUAUGGUAGAGGCAAGCGGAAUUCCUGGUGUAGCGGUGGAAUGUGCAGAUAUCAGGAAGAACAUCGGUGGCGAAGGCGGCUUGCUGGGCCAUUACUGACGCUGAGGCACGAAAGCGUGGGGAGCAAACGGG
rnacentral:rRNA from 1 species